GAAAGACAAGGCCGGCGAUUUCAAAAAGCAGAUAAUCAAAUACCUGGAGUCUCUGCAACAGUCACAGCAACAGCUGAUAAAGUACUGGGAGGCAUUCUUGCCAGAGGCGAAAGCAAUUGCAUGACCGUCAAUCCAAAAAACGAAGAGGAGAAGGCUGACUUUUUUUAUACACUUUACCUCUCACCUAUAAACCAAGAAAAUAACCUAGAGAGCACUGCAAAGGGAGAAAUUUGAUACAAUCAAGUACUUUUUUUAAAGCACCCUAAACCUAUAGUUCUUCUGUUGUAUUAAUAAUUGUAUAUUUUAAUUUUACCUUCCACAUAUAUUUUCUUAACGGCAAAAAAUACCUUUGCUCGUGUGAUGCUAUGGACAUGUGUGAGGGCUGGGUGUCUGUACUUCUUGCAAAAGAUGAAAACAAUAGUUAAUUAUAGCUCACAUGAAUGAUUCCACUUGUUUCCACUUCAGAGGAGCAGCCAUUGUUCUCAUGGUUAAUAUAAGGAUGUAUUCAUUAUGCCGAUUCUGUUGCAAAAGGUUUCUUAAAUGGAAGUACCUAA